rnacentral:rRNA from 1 species
CCUACGGGGGACAGCAGUGAGGAAUAUUGGUCAAUGGACGAGAGUCUGAACCAGCCAAGUAGCGUGAAGGAUGACUGCCCUAUGGGUUGUAAACUUCUUUUAUAUGGGAAUAAAAUGUUCCACGUGUGGGAUUUUGUAUGUACCAUAUGAAUAAGGAUCGGCUAACUCCGUGCCAGCAGCCGCGGUAAUACGGAGGAUCCGAGCGUUAUCCGGAUUUAUUGGGUUUAAAGGGAGCGUAGGUGGAUUGUUAAGUCAGUUGUGAAAGUUUGCGGCUCAACCGUAAAAUUGCAGUUGAAACUGGCAGUCUUGAGUACAGUAGAGGUAGGCGGAAUUCGUGGUGUAGCGGUGAAAUGCUUAGAUAUCACGAAGAACUCCGAUUGCGAAGGCAGUUCACUGAACUGCAACUGACACUGAGGCUCGAAAGUGUGGGUAUCAAACAGGAUUAGAUACCCCUGUAGUC